CGGGAACCGUGAGACAGGUGCUGCAUGGCUGUCGUCAGCUCGUGUUGUGAAAUGUUGGGUUAAGUCCCGCAACGAGCGCAACCCUUAUCCUUUGUUGCCAGCGGUCCGGCCGGGAACUCAAAGGAGACUGCCAGUGAUAAACUGGAGGAAGGUGGGGAUGACGUCAAGUCAUCAUGGCCCUUACGACCAGGGCUACACACGUGCUACAAUGGCGCAUACAAAGAGAAGCGACCUCGCGAGAGCAAGCGGACCUCAUAAAGUGCGUCGUAGUCCGGAUUGGAGUCUGCAACUCGACUCCAUGAAGUCGGAAUCGCUAGUAAUCGUGGAUCAGAAUGCCACGGUGAAUACGUUCCCGGGCCUUGUACACACCGCCCGUCACACCAUGGGAGUGGGUUGCAAAAGAAGUAGGUAGCUUAACCUUCGGGAGGGCGCUUACCACUUUGUGAUUCAUGACUGGGGUGAAGUCGUAACAAGGUAACCGUAGGGGAACCUGCGGUUGGAUCAC
rnacentral:rRNA from 2 species